rnacentral:lncRNA from 1 species
CACCCUUCUCAUAACUAACUAUAGUCACUGUAAAAAAUAGAUAAAACUUGCUUUAUUUUUUGAAUUUAUAUGUAUAUAUACAUACAUAGAAUUGGUUACUAACCUACGAUAAGGACAAUUCUGAAUAUAUUAGAAAUUUUCACGAUUCUAAUAUAUAUACUAUGUUUUUAGUUUCCUUUUCAAAUUGAAGUGUAAAUAAUUUUAACGCCCAAUUUGAAAAGAAUAUAACUAAACUGGAAUCAGAGCAUUAGUUUUUGUUAAAACGUUUGUGAGCUGUAGUUAAAUUUCAAUCAAUAAUAUAAUCACAAACAAAGUAACAGUCGAAUUUUCUAUGUUUUAUAGGUUCAUGAAAAACAGGAUUUACAAGUAAUCUGACUAUCACAAAGCAAACAAAAAUAUCUGAGAGAGAACUUAAGUUGGACAAUAAUCAAUGCAUCCAUUAUUCCGUUUGAUCUCACGCACAUCAACUACAAUAGCUCGGUACUUUGUUUCGGUGGAUGAUGAAUGAGAUUGUAUUUUUUCUUUUUUGGUCUUUAC